rnacentral:rRNA from 1 species
CCGUAAUCGGAAUGAGUACACUUUAAAUCCUUUAACAAGGAUCCAUUGGAGGGCCAGUCUGGUGCCAGCAGCCGCGGUAAUUCCAGCUCCAAUAGCGUAUAUUAAAGUUGUUGCGGUUAAAAAGCUCGUAGUUGGUUCUGCGUGCCGCGCUGUCGGUUCGCCGCCUGUCGGUGUUACUGGCAUGUCGCGGCAUGUCCUGUCGGUGGUGAAUAAAGUCCCCGGUACUGCGUAGGCUAUUAUUAGCUGAAGUUGUUUAUCGUGGUGACUUUAUUUGCCGAUUUCUCCUACUCCGGUGCUCUUAAACGAGUGUCGAGGUAGGCCGACACGUUCACUUUGAACAAAUUAGAGUGCUUAAAGCAGGCUGAAAUAUCUGCCUGAAUAGUGGUGCAUGGAAUAAUAAAAUAGGACCUCGGUUCUAUUUUAUUGGUUUUAGGAAUAUGAGGUAAUGAUCAAUGUGGACUGGCGGGGGCAUUCGUAUUGCGACGUUAGAGGUGAAAUUCUUGGAUCGUCGCAAGACGCACUAAAGCGAAAGCAUUUGCCAAGUAUGUCUUAAUUGAUCAAGAACGAAAGUUAGAGGUUCGAAGGCGAUCAGAUACCGCCCUAGUUCUAACCAUAAACGAUGCCAGCCAGCGAUCCGCCGAUGUUCCUUUAAUGACUCGGCGGGGAGCUUCUACCCGGGAAACCAAAGCUUUUGGGUUCCGGGGGAAGUAUGGUUGCAAAGCUGAAACUUAAAGGAAUUGACGGAAGG